rnacentral:ribozyme from 1 species
UAGAAAUACCGCACCGGUGGGGUAUGGAUCCGAAGCCUCUAGAAGGAUAACAAAGGAUCUCCAUACUCUACUCCUAUUCAAUACGUCCCGGGUAUACGGGGAAACCCAACCCCUUGGAAGGAUGGGUGAUAUGGCUAAAUUGAGAGGA